UUCUCCUUAAACCUCACCAUAGUUUCCAAACUCAUACAUAUAUACCGUCUAAUCUUCCAUUGUUAACCGAAACACUAGCAAACCUUAAACCUAAGUAGCCUCCACCAUUGUCACAUGACACCGACCAUUCCUGACCAAUUCUAUUAUUGUUCGGUUUAAGAAUCACUAUCUUGAUUCUUGAUUCGCAAUGGAUAAAUGCUUUUAAAUUUGAAGUUGCUUUACCAUGGACAGUGCCCUUUUUCCAGGGAUCAAUGGCUAUAAAACUUCAAAAAUUCCAGAGGCUUCGGUAUCAAUGAUAGCUGGAGUCGAUUGGCAGAUAUUUCUUCUUUCACAUCCCAGGUGAUGUACUUUUAACUGUUGGGGCCAAAGCAGAAGAUUGGUUUGUGCUUGGAUUGGGAUUCUUUCUUGGCGUACAAAGAAUCAGUGAUUAGAGUUAAAUCUUGGUUUUAAGGCUUCAGAAUGAGUAGUAAAAAUAGAUGUCAUAUUCUAGAAGAAGACAUCUAUAAAUUGUAAUGGUGAUUAGCUCUCGAUACAUGACUCUUCUAAGCAAGACAAUAUCAAU